rnacentral:rRNA from 1 species
UACAGAGGUGGCAAGCGUUGUUCGGAAUUACUGGGCGUAAAGGGCGCGUAGGCGGUCUUCUAAGUCUUGUGUGAAAUCCCUCGGCUCAACUGAGGAACUGCACGGGAUACUGGAAGACUUGAGUUCGGGAGAGGGAAGCGGAAUUCCGGGUGUAGCGGUGAAAUGCGUAGAUAUCCGGAGGAACACCGGUGGCGAAGGCGGCCGACUGGGCCGGACCCUGACGCUGAGGCGCGAAGGCGUGGGGAGCGAACGGG